AUCUUUGAAAAACACUCCACUGAACUCAUUUCAGGAACAGUGUAAAAAUCAAACUCGUUUUAGCGACUGCUGUCUGUCGCGAUAUAAUGUGUAGACAACAGGAAGCAGCCAGACAAAACCACACGCGCCAUAAGGUUAACAGACCGCACCACCCAAUAACAUCUGUCUGCACUCCUCUCCAGCAGCACGGUGUUUUUUUCGGCCGCUGUAAUUCUCCCUGCAGCCACCUGUUCGCUCAUUUCAGAUGAAAGUUUUGCCGAGGAGUGUGAGGUGGAGCCUCAUAUACCUCGGGAAAACUCCCCACUCCCCGGUGGGGGCGGAGCCUCACAUACCUCGGGAAAACUCCCCACUCCCCGGUGGGGGCGGAGCCUCAUAUACCUCGGGAAAACUUCCCGGUGGGGGCGGAGCCUCACUUUCCUCGGGAAAACUUUCAUCUGAAAUAAGUGAACACAAUCCCUGUGCACACUGCAUGGAACUCCAUUCAGACUUCUCCGCUGUGAGCUGCACUGAGCAGAAACAACCCAUCAGCACCAGAUCGAGGAGGACACUCCAGGAUUGCGCUGCAGGGGAGAAAGCUGGGGUGUAAAGCUGGACUGUGCGGACUGUACUGACAUUUCAACCGUUUUAUCGUCAGUCUGUUCACGAAGAGCUGCCUAUGGAGUCUGACAGCAGAGAUACCACAGGGAUUCAGCGAUUUCUCUAUGCACUGCCCCGGUUCUUCAGAUGCUGUUGCUGGGUUGGACCAGGUGAACGUAAGAUCAGCCUUUCUGUACAGGAAACUUCACCAGCAUCUUCUUACCAGAGUUCUGUAAGGCCCUAUUUUGAGGAGGAAGAAUCCACAUGGCAUCCGAAUAGCAUCGUUUCAGCUUGAUGACCCCUGGUUAUGCUUCAUUACACAGGCACUUUACAAAACUUGCCUUAGCUUCAAUGAGUGCUACAUCUAAUGAAGAUAUCUCUAGGACUUUGACAAUGACUAAUUUUAAAAAGUAAAUCAGGAUAAAAUCAUUUAUAAAUAUUGAUGUUUUCAUAAUUUUAAACCAUAGGUAUUUUACAGGUAUAUAUUCUUUAAAAUUAAAGCAGUUCCCAGUUGUGCCAAAGGGAGCAACAAAAAGCUUUAAGGCCUUUUCACACCAAGUUUUGAACACAUACACAUUAGCACCAAUA